rnacentral:rRNA from 1 species
GAUUUCGAUGAAGAACGCAGCGAAAUGCGAUAAGUAAUGUGAAUUGCAGAAUUCAGUGAAUCAUCGAAUCUUUGAACGCACAUUGCGCCCUCUGGUAUUCCGGAGGGCAUGCCUGUUCGAGCGUCA